GAUGAACGCUGGCGGCGUGCCUAAUACAUGCAAGUCGAGCGAACAGACGAGGAGCUUGCUCCUCUGACGUUAGCGGCGGAUGGGUGAGUAACACGUGGAUAACCUACCUAUAAGACUGGGAUAACUUCGGGAAACCGGAGCUAAUACCGGAUAAUAUAUUGAACCGCAUGGUUCAAUAGUGAAAGACGGUUUUGCUGUCACUUAUAGAUGGAUCCGCGCCGCAUUAGCUAGUUGGUAAGGUAACGGCUUACCAAGGCAACGAUGCGUAGCCGACCUGAGAGGGUGAUCGGCCACACUGGAACUGAGACACGGUCCAGACUCCUACGGGAGGCAGCAGUAGGGAAUCUUCCGCAAUGGGCGAAAGCCUGACGGAGCAACGCCGCGUGAGUGAUGAAGGUCUUCGGAUCGUAAAACUCUGUUAUUAGGGAAGAACAAAUGUGUAAGUAACUAUGCACGUCUUGACGGUACCUAAUCAGAAAGCCACGGCUAACUCCGUG
rnacentral:rRNA from 1 species